rnacentral:rRNA from 1 species
GAUGAACGCUGGCGGCGUGCCUAAUACAUGCAAGUCGAGCGAACGGACGAGAAGCUUGCUCCUCUGAUGUUAGCGGCGGACGGGUGAGUAACACGUGGAUAACCUACCUAUAAGACUGGGAUAACUUCGGGAAACCGGAGCUACUACCGGAUAAUAUUUUGAACCGCAUGGUUCAAAAGUUAAAGACGGUUUUGCUGUCACUUAUAGAUGGAUCCGCGCUGCAUUAGCUAGUUGGUAAGGUAACGGCUUACCAAGGCAACGAUGCAUAGCCGACCUGAGAGGUGGAGCGGCAAAACGGAAGUGAGGAAAGGUGCCAAAUCCAAAGGGAAGGCAGAGGAAGGGAAGCUUCGGAAAGGGGGGAAGGCUGGACGGAGCAACGCGGGGUGAGGGAGGAAGGGCUUCGGAUGGUAAAACUCUGUGAUGGGGGAAAAAAAGAGGGGUAAGUAACAGGGAAGAUCUGAAGGGAACCAAAUCAGAAAGCAAGGCCAAAUUACGG